rnacentral:lncRNA from 1 species
AGAAGCCUUCUGAGGUUCUAGUAUAGAAGUUUAGAGGUGGUCUGUGUACUUCAGUGGCCUCUUAAAUGGGUCAGCUGAUGUUACCCCCAUUUUUUUCACACAGUGCCCAGGGGAAAAACUCCUAAAGGCCACUCUGAGGCCAGUCUUAGUCUGGCAGAGAGGGAGUCGGUGAAACCCUAGGAAUUUAGGGCUGUGUGGGUGGGGCCUAGGACAAAGUGGUGGCAAGUGGACGAGGCUCAGGGGGUCCCAUUGGCCCACCCCCAACUUUAAUCAGAGUCAUUCAGUAUUUACCUGUUUAUAUGUAGUAGCUGUGUGGUCUUGGGCCACAGCAAG